AAGCAGUGUGACAUGCCAGUUUGGUGAUAUACUCUGAUGUUAUAUUUAUUAUUUAAUUGCUUUGGGAUAACGAGAUGUUACAAUUGGU
rfam:Medicago truncatula strain A17 chromosome 3, whole genome shotgun sequence.